rnacentral:lncRNA from 1 species
GGGAGGGAGGAAGGAAGGAAGGAUCCAAUCUGGGAGAGAGGGAGGGAGGGAGGGAGGGAGGAAGGAAGGAAGAAAGGAUCCAGACUGGGAGAGAAGGAGGGAGGAAGGGAGGGAGGGAGGAAGGAAGACAGGGAUGGAGGAGAGAAGGAAGGAAGCAAGGAAGGAUCCAGCCUGGGAGGGAAGGAGGGAGGGAGGGAGGGAGGAAUUAUCCAGCCUAGGAGGGAGGGAGGGAGGGAGGAAGGAAGGAAGGAAGGAUCCACCCUAGGAGGGAGGGAGGGAGGGAGGAAAGAAGGAAGGAAGGAUCCAGCCUGGGAGGGAGGGAGGCAAGGAGGGAGGGAGGGAGGGAGCAAGGGAGGAAGGAUCCAGCCUGGGAGGGAGGGAGGAAGGGGCAGAGGAAGGAAGGAAGGAAGGAUCCAGCCCGGGAGGGAGGAAGGAAGGAAUGAAGGAUCCAGUCUAGGAAGGAGGGAGCGAGGGAGGAAGGAAGGAAGAAAGAUCAAGCCUGGGAGGAAGGGAGGGAGGAAGGCAGGAAGGGAGGGAGGAUGGGAGGGAGGAAGGAAAGGAGGGAGGGAGGAAGGAAAGGAGGGAGGGAGGGAGGAAGGAAAGGAGGGAAGAAGGAAGGAAGGAUCCACUAUGGGAGAGAAGAAGGAAGGAAUGAAGGAUCCAGCCUGGGAGGGAGGGAGGGAGGAAGAAAGGAAGGAAGGAAGGGUCCAGCCUGGGAGGGAGGGAGGGAGGAAUAAAGAAAGGCAGGAUCCAGCCUAGGAGGGAGGGAUGGAAGGAGGAAUGGAGGGAGGAAGGAAGGAGGGAUCCAGCCUGGGAGGGAGGGAGGGAGGAAGGAAGGAAGGAACGAUCCAGCCUGGGAGGGAGGGAGGAAGCAAGGAAGGAAGGAUCCAGCCUCGGAGGGAGAGAGGGAGGAAGGAAAGAAGAAAGGAUCCAGCCUGGGAGGGAGGGAGGGAGAGAGGAAUGAAGGAAUGAAGGAUCCAGCCUGGGAGGGAGGGAGGAAGGGAUGAAGGAAGGAAGGAAGGAUCCAGCCUGGGAGGGAGGGAGGAAGGAAGGAAGGAGGGAUCCACCCUGGGAGGGAGGAAGGAAGGAAGGAAGGA